AGAGUCCUAGCGUGUACGUAAGCGCCUGACAGUUUUGAGCCAACACUUUUUUAUUGGGAGUUUAAGUCUUCUUUUAGAAUGCAAGCCUUGAACGAUAAAGGACGCAUAAAGAAAGAAGCUUGGCACCCACCUGCGAGAGCAGGUUCAAAACUAGGGAGAUACGGCACUUUGGGCCUCUU
rnacentral:other from 1 species